CGAAUUGCCAAAGAGUCCAUUAAUUUCAGUAUUCUAAACAAGCAUAUACCGGACAAUCCAUCCAUACCAUUCAGCUUUACCAAUGAGACAGUAUGGAUUAAGCCAGAAGAUCAGCUGCCAUGUUACUUGACUCACACCAACCCUAGAGUGGAUGAGAUUGUCCUUAAGAACCUUCACCUUAAUAGUCAUGUUAAAGAAACGACAAGAGGACCUCGAUACUGUCCCUCCAUUGAAUCAAAAGUUUUGCGUUUUCCAAACCGUCUACAUCAGGUUUGGUUGGAACCUGAAGGAAUGGAUUCUGACCUUAUCUACCCACAGGGGUUAUCUAUGACGCUACCAGCUGAGUUACAAGAGAAAAUGAUCACAUGCAUCAGAGGCUUGGAGAAAGCUAAAGUGAUUCAGCCAGGAUGGAGUGCAAUGGUGCGAUCUCGGCUCACCACAACCUCCCCCUGCCAGGCUACGGUGUUCAGUAUGAUUACUUAGAUCCCCGUCAGAUCACCCCUUCCUUGGAGACUCAUUUGGUUCAACGACUCUUCUUUGCUGGACAGAUCAAUGGCACCACUGGUUAUGAGGAAGCUGCAGCUCAAAGUGUUGCUCUGUUGCCAGGCUGGAGUG
rnacentral:lncRNA from 10 species